rnacentral:lncRNA from 1 species
AUGCUUGUGAUCACGGUUUUUCACUUAUUUUUCACAAUAACUCCUGAGGUUGUUAAUUCCCUUCUUACAAUUAUUCCCCUUUUACAAUUAGAAAGCUCAGGCCCAACUAGGUGGGACAAGGUGUGUUACAAGCUAGGAGGUGAGAAGUGCCAAACCCUAACCCCACAUUCAGAGUCUUUGAAGCACCUUGGAAACAGAGGAAGAGACCACACAACAGCAGCUGCAUGCAGCAGGAAGGCCGGAGCUGUUAUUCUUCCUAUAUCAUACAGGAGCAGGCUGAGGCUGAGAGAGACCUGCAUGGUUUCAUGUGCUGGGGUGAACCAUUGCCAGGUGUCCCAGGCCUUGUCCUUGAGCCCAUGCUCUGAGGGGUAGGCUCCCAGCCUCCCAGGAUGACCAAGUUCUCAUGGGUAAGAAAGUAGCCAUGCCAAGUGGGCUGUCCACAGGACAUGCUCACACCAGGAUGGGACUCUCCCUAUCCUAGGCUUUACUUAAGUUCAUAAAGGGGUGUGAUGUCUGCAUCAGAACCUCCUGUGGCACUGCUUAAAACACAGACCCAGGGACCCAUCUUAGACCUGUUGAACAGCACCUCCUUAUACCCAGGAGCCUGCAGGAAAUCAGGUGGCCCUCAGGCUUGGGGGCUGGGAUUAGCAGGUGGGUGGCAGGCUUCUUCUAGGUCCUGAGUCUGAUUCUGGCCUGGGUAUGGGCAGUGUGCCCCCUGGGCCUCACUCAGCACACAGAGGGAUCCCUUUCUGGGGUACUGGGGGGGUGCAUUCAGAAGUUGGGGAAGCAGUAUCUUGCCUGCAAUGUUUCUCCAGCAGGGUUCUGGUUGCUCCUAGGUCUGUCCAGAUGUGCAUCAGCCUGUCUGUUUUUGUUUCUUUCUAUGUUUCUUAAAACAUCAUUCCUUUAAAGAGGAAGCCUUUACACAUCUGGGUCCUUAUUAUUGUUUCUUUUCCCCCCUCGGAUUCAGGAAGGAAACCCCAUCUUCCUUUCCUAAAUUGCAGUAUCCUGGGGACCAUUAGCCCAUAACUGGAUCAGACAGGGGGCCCAGUGUCUGCACAUGGCUGGCUGGAGAGACAGUUUCCCGGGGCCCCCCUGAGAGGAUCACUUUCUAGCAUCCUGAAUUCCUUUUUCUCAUUCCAGGGACAAGGGCACACCUUUAGGCCCUGUUCCAUGCUGACUGACCUUCCACUUUCCUUUCUCUCAUCCUCAGUGGCUCCAGGUGUGGAAUGCAAGUCAGGCUGUACUUGCUGUUGGGUUGGGGGAUGGGGUCACCCUGAGGCUGCCUGCUGGGAGCUCAGCUUGCCCUCUGGCCUCCAAGGAUUACAGUCCUAGGACCUAUGUUCCCUUCCAGAAGGGACUUUAGGAUGAAGGGUAUGGCCUGGCAUCAGAUUAAGCAGCAGACCUGGCCUCAUUUUCCUUGGCCAUUGGCAGGAAGUGGACCAAAUUUUGUGAGAGGGGCAUGGCCAGCAGCCCCCUGUUGCUGGUGAUACCUUCAUGCACCUGGCUGAGUGAGACACACCACCAGGGUGGGGGCUGAAGCUUGCGGGCUCCUCCCCUCAGUCACUGGUCACCUCUUUUUUCCUGCUCAAACUUGGGAUGACAAAGUUGAGGGGGACUCCCUCUGCCCCUAGAUAUCACUGUCUAGUCAGAAACUGGCUUCCUCCUUCCCACCUCUUCUUGGUAGAAAGGCUUUGUAUAUCUGCCACUUGGGUCCUCCCCUCUCUGGCCCAGCCUAGAAGGAUGUGGGCAGUGAGGUGGAAAGAGCAGCCUCUUGGGACAGAGCUGACCUGGAUUUGACCCCAACUUGUAGCUGUCAUUCCCCAGGACAAGAAGUUUGCCUGUUUUUCUCACUUGAGUGCCCCCUGCUUCUAGACCACAAGGUGGACUUGCUAAAUCUGUGAACAGGAAUGGUAUUGGUACCCAAGACUAUAUUGCUAAGAAACAAAAAACCUGCCAGCACCUCUUCCCCAGACUUCCACCCAGCUACCUCUGCCUCACUCUGUAUUUGUGUAUUGAUAUUUUGACUUUUGGGACUUAAAUCCAGGCAGACAGGAGAGGAGGGGCAAGAUGGCUGAAGAGUAGGGUCCCCAAGUCACCUGUCCCCACCAAAUUACCUAGAUAACCUUCAAAUCAUCCUGAAAAUCUACAAAUUCGGCCUGAGAUUUAAUGAGAGAACAGCUUGAACGCUACAGUGAGAAGAGUUCGUGCUUCUAUCAAGGUAGGAAGACGGGGAAAAAGAAAUAAAGACACAAAAGGCCUCCAAGGGGGAGGGGCCCGCGAGGAGCCGGGCUGAGGCCGGGGCGAGUGUCCCCAGGACAGGAGAGCCCCGUCCCGGAGAAGCAGGAGCUGCACCAACCUUCCCGGGGGGAAAGGGGCUCCAGGGAGGUGGAGCAGGGCCCAAGAGG